rnacentral:rRNA from 1 species
GGACUACUGGGGUUUCUAAUCCCGUUCGCUCCCCUAGCUUUCGCACCUGAGCGUCAGGUACUUCCCAGGACACUGCCUACGCCUUUGGUGUUCCUCCGGAUAUCUACGCAUUUCACCACUCCACCCGGAAUUCCGUGUCCCUCUGAAGCCCUCAAGUCGGGCAGUUUUCAAAGCACUUCACCAGUUAAGCCGGUGACUGUCACUCCAAACUUACCAGACCGCCUGCGUGCGCUUUACGCCCAGUAACUCCGGACAACGCUUGCCCCCUACGUAUUACCGCGGCUGCUGGCAC